UGCAUAAAAAAGGCCAUGAAUGGUGGCGACUCUGAAAACAGGCCUCUGACCAUAUGGUUCACAAAGCCGGCCCCAUAGUGCGUGUGCCACAUGUUGCAGGCGUUGCCAGUGCACAAACACACACACACACACACACCCGAAAUGCAAACUGCAUGCAAAGCCAAACCAAGUGCAGUGCCCAUUGCCCAGCAGUGUGGAGUGGGCUCCCUGUAUCUGCACUGACAGCAUAUUUGAUGUGGUUGCAUGCAGCUGCAAGUUGCAGCAGCACCAGUGGCACACUGUCACUGCACCUGCUUGUGUGAUAAGCCGCCCAGCUGACAAUGCCGCUUCAACGCAAAGGGAAUCAUUGAUUAAGAAACCAAAGAUGAAUUAAUAUUUAACAGGCAUAAAGAAUAAACAGAAUGGGGCCUUAGCUUAAUCGAAAAGCAAUUGCAUUGGCUUGCCAAGAGUUUUGCAGCUGUCCGAAUAUAUUUAUGAUUAACCCAUAAGCCAGGUAUUUUCUCACAUUUGCAUUAUUUCCAUGCCAACAACUGUUAUACACGUGUACGUGAACGCACACAAGAUUAGGGCUUGCUGAUCGCUGAUGGCCCGCCUGUCUGUCUGUCACUUUGAUUUCAAUAUAUUUGUCGGAACAUUUGCAUGAACCCAUUAGCAAUGGGAAAACCCCAGUAAGAGGCCAUUCCCAUCUGAACCAUCAGCCGUACAGCAUUAGAUUUCCUUCGAAUUCCCAGUACAUGUACGAGAGAGGGGCAUUAGGCAUAAAGUUCAGCCACCUCCAUACGAUACUUAUCAUUGUACAAUCGUUUCCAUGACUUAGAACAUGGAAAAAGUGCAAUACACAAAUCAAAACCGAGAUGGGCGCUGUCUAUAUGGACUCUGCGGGAUCAUUUACAGCUGAUCAAUUUCGUGCUGCUGAAGUUACAUGUUACUGGACGAACACAUGUUCCUCUUAGAAUCCCACACCACUCCAUCUCAUAUUUAAUGACUUUUAUACCUACUAAAGGCUAGAUUAUAGGAUAAGAUUAUAGAGAUUAUCAUCUACAAACAUUUGUCAAGCUCUUUCUCGCUCUCUUUGUAAUUGAUACUCGUUCGGAAAUAUAUCAUUAUAACUGUGCCCACCGAGAAAACAAUAGUUACAUUAUAGCUAACAUAAUGGCAAGACUACAUCGAUAUUAAUUGGUAUCUCUCCUGUUUUCAGAUGCAGGUCAGAUGCGUCCAACCCGAAAUGUCACACAUAAAUCAGAGCUUCUACAUUUCGCUGACUUGCCUCCAGGGACUCGUUGCAGGACUCGGUCUAUGCCAUGCUCAUUCAGUUUAUUAUUAUCUCGAGUGCUCUUAACCCUUGCUGCUACUUAACACGCCGCCGUACACUCUAGAAACUAGCGACAUACUUUGGCAUAUUUUCGCAUCCUUCCGAUGGGCGCCAAGAACAAGCAGCACAACAAAAACGCAAACAAAACACAAAACGAAACAAGGAAAAAUCCCAACAAGAGCGGCACGAAAAGUGACAGAAGAGCUUGACGCGGGGGCGAGGCUAAAAUGGAUGGAGGAUAGAGGAUAGAGGAGAGAGGAGAGAGGCAAGAGAGAACUCAAGUGCACUCAAGUAAUAUGCUUCAUAAUUUUUAUUGUCAAGCCCUUUUCUUUGGGUUUGGGUGGUGCUGCCGCUGCCGAUGCACUCGACAACAAAAGCUCAAAAGCGCUUGGGGCAAAAAAAUGCAGAAAAAAAGGACUUUAUAAAAAGCAAAGGCAGAAAAUGGAGUGCUGUAGGUGGCGGGUAUAAAGAGAGAGAGAGAGAGAGAGAGAGGCGGGGUAGAACAAAGCACAGAGAGUAGCGCGCACGAGUAGCAUAAAUUUUAUAAUAUAGAAAAAAUCAAUGGCAGCAAAAAAUGCAGAGAAGCAAGGACUAGCUCGUCGAGUGUCCUGCCCGGCUGCCCACUUCUCGUCCACUGGUACACUGUCCACAGUCCUGCACUGUCCUACUAUCCAGUCUGCCGCAGGCCCGUGUCGGUCUCGGGGCUUCGCUCCUCCCUACGCCGAGUUGCACAAAUUAACUUGCCCCCAUCCAUAUUCUCGGAUGUUUCUUGCCGCUCUCAAUUGUUGCCAGUUAAUUUUGGUUUUUUUGUAUUUUUUGCUCUGCACAUUUGCAUUUUCUGCGCUUCCAUCCACUGCACUUGUCGGCGUAAUUAGGCGCCGACCAGCCUCUUUGGCUUUGAUGUUCGCUGCUCUUAACUGGGCUAAGUAUGGCACCCACAGCC